rnacentral:rRNA from 1 species
CCCUUAGAUGUUCUGGGCCGCACACGCGCUACACUGAAGGAGGCAGCGUGUACUCCUGGAUCGAAAGAUUUGGGUAACCCGCGAAUCUCCUUCGUGCUAGGGAUUGAGGUUUGCAAUUAUCCUUCAUGAACGAGGGAUUCCCAGUAAGUGCAAGUCAUAAGCUUGCGCUGACUACGUCCCUGCCCUUUGUACACACCGCCCGUCGCUACUACCGAUUGAAUGAUUUAGUGAGGACUUCGGACUGGGACCGAUGCGGCUUUCGGGCUGCGUCGGUAUUCUGGAAAGAUGUCCAAACUGUAUCAUUUAGAGGAAGUAAAANUCGUAACA